AGAGUUUGAUCAUGGCUCAGAUUGAACGCUGGCGGCAUGCUUUACACAUGCAAGUCGAACGGCAGCACAGGGGAGCUUGCUCCCGGGUGGCGAGUUGGCGCACGGGUGAGUAAUACAUCGGAACGUGUCCUGUUGUGGGGGAUAACUGCUCGAAAGGGUGGCUAAUACCGCAUGAGACCUGAGGGUGAAAGCGGGGGAUCGCAAGACCUCGCGCAAUUGGAGCGGCCGAUGCCCGAUUAGCUAGUUGGUGAGGUAAAGGCUCACCAAGGCGACGAUCGGUAGCUGGUCUGAGAGGACGACCAGCCACCACUGGGACUGAGACACGGCCCAGACUCCUACGGGAGGCAGCA
rnacentral:rRNA from 1 species